UACGGAGGGGGCUAGCGUUGUUCGGAAUUACUGGGCGUAAAGCGCACGUAGGCGGCUUUGUAAGUUAGAGGUGAAAGCCCAGAGCUUAACCCUGGAAUUGCCUUUAAGACUGCAUCGCUAGAAUCGUGGAGAGGUGAGUGGAAUUCCGAGUGUAGAGGUGAAAUUCGUAGAUAUUCGGAAGAACACCAGUGGCGAAGGCGACUCACUGGACACGUAUUGACGCUGAGGUGCGAAAGCGUGGGGAGCAAACAGG
rnacentral:rRNA from 1 species